AUAUGUAAUUGCUAAUAAAUUGCACUAAAAAAAGGAUCAGGCAGCCAGUGAGUCCAGGGCGAGGCUUUGCCAUUGCACAUCGGCUUAGCUGACCCUUGCGAUUACCCAAAAUGUGGGUAACUCGGUCGUAUAAUUUCUGGUAGUGGGGACUGCGUUCGCGCUAUCCCCGU
rfam:Ciona savignyi cont_26021, whole genome shotgun sequence.